GUCGAACGCUGGCGGCGUGCCUAAUACAUGCAAGUCGAGCGCAGGAAACUGACGGAACUCUUCGGAGGGAAGGCAGUGGAAUGAGCGGCGGACGGGUGAGUAACACGUAAGGAACCUGCCUCAAGGAUUGGGAUAACUCCGAGAAAUCGGAGCUAAUACCGGAUAGUUCAUCGGACCGCAUGGUCCGCUGAUGAAAGGCGCUUCGGCGUCACCUUGAGAUGGCCUUGCGGUGCAUUAGCUAGUUGGGGGGGUAACGGCCCACCAAGGCGACGAGGCAUAGCCGACCUGAGAGGGUGAUCGGCCACACUGGGACUGAGACACAGCCCAGACUCCUACGGGAGGCAGCAGUAGGGAAUCUUCCACAAUGGACGAAAGUCUGAUGGAGCAACGCCGCGUGAGUGAUGAAGGUUUUCGGAUCGUAAAACGCUGUUGUAAGGGAAGAACACGUACGAGAGGGAAUGCUCGUACCUUGACGGUACCUUACGAGAAAGCCACGGCUAACUACGUGCCAGCAGCCGCAGUAA
rnacentral:rRNA from 1 species